CAUGUGAGCAGUGUGUGUGGGAAGCAGUUUGGCAGUGAAGCCACCUUCCUGCCCAGUGCUGUGCUGUUGGCAGCUGGGGAAUGGAGCAGAGCUGGGGCAGCCUGAGCUCAGAGCACAUGGCCACGUGGGGCUGGGUGUGCAGAACAGAAAGCUGGAGGGCAUUUUUUGAGAGGAUGGUGCUUUUUAAAAAUGAAUACUCUGUGGUAUAAAUGGAGGUGAAGUCACGUCCCUUAGGAUGACCAACCUGCAAACCCUCUGCCUCUGACUAUUCCCAAGGUGCCUGGAAAAUGCUGAAACUCCAACAGAGCCUCACAGAACCCAGUGCAGCUCUGGUGUCAGCCCAGCUCCAGCACCUGCCCCAUGAAGAUGGAAUGGGAUGGCCCAACAGUCAGUGCAGCACUCCUGGCCCACAUGGGGCUGGUACCACACCACACCAGUGGGACAGGCUUCCUGGGCUUUUCAAAGCCUCUUUGCAAUGGAUUUUAAAGUCAAUUAGAAGUGACUGCUUACUAAUGCCACAUGAUGACAUAAUGGGAAAACAGACAAAAUCAGAAAUGCAUAUUCAUAAGUGUUCUAAGUUUCCCAUCUGCCUUCUAUAGCAAAUAGUUCAUCCAACAAAUAAUAGAACCCAGCUUCAGCUAAUGCUGCUCUCCAGUCCUUCACAUGUGCUGUUGCUGAUCAGAGCUGCAGGCCAUGGAGCUGUGGGAUGGAACCCAGUGGGGUUCUAGAUGUGCAACCUGUCACUCAUUUCUUCUAUCCUGCACAAAGCUACCUUUGCAGUGCUUUAGCCAGCAGCUGAUGCCAAAUUCUCUUUGGGGUGAUGUGAAAAACAAAGCGUAUGUUUUGGUGCUAGUCGGUGGAGUAGAGGGAUUGAUGGAUCAUAACACAAAGAUUCUUGCAGGCAGCUGAAACCGGAGUUAUCUUUCAUUUCUGUCAGCACUUGAAAGAGCUCUGAUUUCUUCUCAUUUUUUAUUUUCUAAGACUAGAGGUUUCAUUUGGCUGUAUAUUGACGAUGAUUUCAGGAGCCCAGAGAAGAAGGUGAGCAUAAAGGCAGCCCAGUAAAUUCCUCUCUUCAGAUCCUCUUCACCCCUACAGCCCCUACACUCAGAUUGGCAGCUGCUGGCAUCAAGGUCCAAGUGCAAAAGACUUGCUGUUUUGCAGGGAAGGGAGCACAAAGAAACUAAAGCCAAGAGCACAGAGUCCCAGCGCAGUGGUGCUGCCCCUUGCUGCCUUUCCCAGCAUGGACCAGCAUCCCAACAAGAGCAAGUCGGUCACAGAAAAGUUAAUUUAGAGUUGGUAGUAAACAGUCAGCAAUAGUGAGCUCAUUUAAGGCAAACCUCAUAGCAUUAUUUAUAUAAAGAAGCAUUUUUAACAUUUCUGGUAACCUCUGUACAAUACUUGCUAGGAUUUCCAUUGAUUUAGAAGUGUGCACUUCUUGACUGAACACAGCAAACAGCAGAGAAGCUUCCAAUUCCCCCCACAAUUGAACUUUAUUACAUCAGAUCCUUAGAUUUCAGAUGACAGUGAAAAUUAAUAGCAGGAAUAAAAUCUUGUAAUUGAAACUGAAAUGAAACAAAGUGUUGCAGACAGAAUAUGAGCUUCAACUUCGCUCCAAGAGUGCAAGGAAUUGCUGAGCAUUUUAUAGUUCUUUGACUCUUUUCCACAAAUAUUUUGAUAUGCUCAGAAAUUUAUCUUCAUUAUUAAGGCUGCUCAACUACCACAUCCCAAAGAGACUAAAUUCAAGAUGUUUCACUCUUUACUCAUUUGCCAUUUAUUCAGAAAUACAUUUCCCACUAGAUGCCCAGGCUGUGGGCUAUAGAACUACUGUGGGGGAUGAUGAAGCAGAAACCCCAUAUUCUCCCCUCUUUUAUAAUACGCAUUUCUAUAAUAUCCUCUAAUUUCCUCUAAGCUCCUUGUAACACAAUGCAAAGUACAACAAGACAGCAGAAAUGCAACAUCCUAAGCCACAGCAAGUGAGAACCCACUCAGACAUAUCAGAUCAGGCAAAAAAUAAGGAAAUAAAUGUCAAUAGCUGCAAGUAGGAGUUCCGGCAGGAAGAAA
rnacentral:lncRNA from 7 species